rnacentral:rRNA from 1 species
CAGCAGCCGCGGGAAUACGUAGGGUGCGAGCGUUAAUCGGAAUUACUGGGCGUAAAGCGUGCGCAGGCGGCUUUGCAAGACAGAUGUGAAAUCCCCGGGCUCAACCUGGGAACUGCAUUUGUGACUGCAAGGCUAGAGUACGGUAGAGGGGGAUGGAAUUCCGCGUGUAGCAGUGAAAUGCGUAGAUAUGCGGAGGAACACCAAUGGCGAAGGCAAUCCCCUGGACCUGUACUGACGCUCAUGCACGAAAGCGUGGGGAGCAAACAGGAUUAGAUACCCCCGUAGUCCCUGUCUCUUAUAC